GGUCCUAUAGCUCAGUUGGUUAGUAGCACUUGACUCAUAAUCAAGGGGUCCCUGGUUCAAGCCCAGGUGGGACCA
rnacentral:tRNA from 3 species